GACGAACGCUGGCGGCGUGCUUAACACAUGCAAGUCGAACGGAAAAGCCUGCUUUCCCUUGUGGAUUGCGGGUACUCGAGUGGCGAACGGGUGAGUAACACGUGAGUGAUCUGCCCCCAACUUGGGUAUAAGCCUGGGAAACUGGGUCUAAUUCCCGAUAGGACUGCAGGGUGGUGCCUGUGGUGGAAAACGAUUUUCUAGUGGUUGGGGAUGAGCUCGCGGCCUAUCAGCUUGUUGGUGGGGUAAUGGCCUACCAAGGCGGCGACGGGUAGCCGGCCUGAGAGGGUGGACGGCCACAUUGGGACUGAGAUACGGCCCAGACUCCUACGGGAGGCAGCAGUGGGGAAUAUUGCACAAUGGGCGGAAGCCUGAUGCAGCGACGCCGCGUGGGGGAUGACGGCCUUCGGGUUGUAAACUCCUUUCGACCGCGAGGAAGCCACCUGGUUGGAAGGGUGGUGACGGUAGUGGUAGAAGAAGCACCGGCUAACUACGUG
rnacentral:rRNA from 1 species